AGAAUCAACGCUGGCGGCGUGCCUAACACAUGCAAGUCGCACGAGAAAGUGGAGCAAUCCACGAGUAAAGUGGCGCACGGGUGAGUAACACGUGAAUAAUCUACCUCCGAGUGGGGAAUAACUGAGAGAAAUCUUAGCUAAUACCGCAUAAUACCCACGGGUCAAAGCAGCAAUGCGCUUGGAGAGGAGUUCGCGGCCGAUUAGCUAGUUGGCGGGGUAAUGGCCACCAAGGCGAUGAUCGGUA
rnacentral:rRNA from 1 species